GAUGAACGCUGGCGGCGUGCCUAAUACAUGCAAGUCGAGCGAACAGACGAGGAGCUUGCUCCUCUGACGUUAGCGGCGGACGUGUGAGUAACACGUGGAUAACCUACCUAUAAGACUGGGAUAACUUCGGGACACCGGAGCUAAUACCGGAUAAUAUAUUGAAGCGCAUGGUUCAAUAGUGAAAGACGGUUUUGCUGUCACUUAUAGAUGGAUCCGCGCCGCAUUAGCUAGUUGGUAAGGUAACGGCUUAUCAAGGCAACGAUGCGUAGCCGACCUGAGAGGGUGAUCGCCCACACUGGAACGGAGACACGGUCCAGACUCCUACGGGAGGCAGCAGUAGGGAAUCUUCCGCAAUGGGCGAAAGCCUGACGGAGCAACGCCGCGUGAGUGAUGAAGGUCUUCGGAUCGUAAAACUCUGUUAUUAGGGAUGAACAAAUGUGUAAGUAACUAUGCACGUCUUGACGGUACCUAAUCAGAAAGCCACGGCUAACUACGUG
rnacentral:rRNA from 1 species